rnacentral:tRNA from 1 species
UCUCUGGUGGUCUAAUGGCUAAGACUCCUGCUCCCAAUGCAGGGGGCCAGGGUUCAAUCCCUGCUCGGGGA